rnacentral:rRNA from 1 species
AGGCUUUGAUCCUGGCUCAGGAUGAACGCUGGCGGCGUGCUUAACACAUGCAAGUCGAACGAACCUUUUCGGAGGUUAGUGGCGGACGGGUGAGUAACGCGUGAGGAUCUGCCCUUAGGAUGGGGACAACGACUGGAAACGGUCGCUAAAACCCAAUGUGCCGAGAGGUGAAAACUUUAGUGCCUGAGGAUGAACUCGCGUCUGAUUAGCUAGUUGGUGAGGUAAAGGCUCACCAAGGCGACGAUCAGUAGCUGGUCUGAGAGGAUGAUCAGCCACACUGGGACUGAGACACGGCCCAGACUCCUACGGGAGGCAGCAGUGGGGAAUUUUCCGCAAUGGGCGAAAGCCUGACGGAGCAACGCCGCGUGAGGGAAGAAUGUCUGUGGAUUGUAAACCUCUUUUCUCAGGGAAGAAGGUCUGACGGUACCUGAGGAAUAAGCAUCGGCUA